UGUAUUGGGCACGGGGGAUAGAGUAGUGAACAACACAAGGUAGGGUGUCCACCCUUAUGGGUGUUUAGAGUCCAGAAGGGAAGGCAGACAUUGGGUAAUGACAAUAAAAUGGGUGAAUGUCAUGAUGGGAGACUGAAUUUCCAUAUGAACAAGUUUGGGGACAGCCAUUUAAUUGAAAUUAGAAAAACCAGAAUACUUGUCUCGAAUAACUAGAAUGGUUUUUGCCUAAUUCCGUUUCUGUGGGGUAGCUGGGUGAGGGGUGCCCAUAGAGAUUAAAGGGUUGGCACUAAAGCCACCCACUGGUGUCGCCAAUGAAAAAGAGGAUUCAGGAAGCCAUGAGAAUACCUACCAGCGAGAUGAGACCUAGUCUGCGGAGUCUGAAAAGGCCUCGAAGGGGAAGUAAUCUCAAUCCUGAAGAGUAGGAAUUUUACAGAGAUUUAAGACGGCGGAGAUUUGAUAAAGCUGAUGAGGAACCUGUAAAGAUUCAAAAAUUUCGGGGAUGUGAAUAACACAACUGUUCAUAAGUGGUUGAUUUUUGGACCAAGAAUCUAGGGCUCCCUUGUAAAAUCACGUGUUCUAAUUUUCGAGGUUGCAACGUUCUUAACUACACUGCCUCCACCAUUGCAGUUUAAAAACUAAAAUUUCCUAUGACGCACGCAAGCUGUGCGUGCGCGGCGUGGACUCGCGCAGCACUUCGGGCUUUGUAGUCUUGGACGGACUCCGAGUCCCAUGGUGCCGUGCGGCGGGUCGUCGCGCCUGCGCGGUGCGGGCGGCGGGCUGCGCAGAGUGCGAGGCUCUUUUGUUCGGCAGAGGGGAGGGCCGUUGGUCGGGGCCUGCGGUACGCCGCUUCAUUGAGGGGCUCCACUGCAGCCACCAGCUUGUUGCUUUUCCUGGGUGCCACUUCCCCGGCUGGCCCGACGCGACGCGCCAGUAGCGCGACACCGAUUCCUCUCGGGUUUUUGGGCGCUGCUCUGAGCAGCGUCACCCUUUCACCAGAAAGCUGGCGGGCACUAUGGGGAAAAAACAAAACAAGAAGAAAGUGGAGGAGGUGCUAGAAGAGGAGGAAGAGGAAUAUGUGGUGGAAAAAGUUCUCGACCGUCGAGUGG